rnacentral:lncRNA from 1 species
AGGGCGUUCUUGCUGAUGUAAGUCCUUUAAGGACUAUCUAUCCUUUUUCUUCGCCGGAGAAAUAAAUUGUAAUAGUUAUUAAUGAAAUAUUAUUUUCCUUCUUGUUUUUCAUAUUUCUUGACAUUUAUCUCUACUCUUCAUACUUGUGAUGUAAACUACAUCUUUUCAUUCAGAAGCUCUGAAUUAAGCUUAAGUUGCGAGCUCAGCGCUUAGCUGAUAAUCUGAGAGAUCAAGUCUCGUACCUUUUUAAUGACAACUAUCAUGUCAGUUUUUGGCUUUUAGUCCUGCUUUCUUUGUUGUAAUUUCGCAUAUUUGUUUCAGAUAAACUGAUUUAGGCUGUAAUAUGGGCUUUGAUUAUAGCCUUUUUAUCCUCCUAAGGAUGUCGUCAUUUAUGAGUCCUGCUAUGGAGGGAGCUCGGCCUUUGUUUUUGGCUUUCGUAUCUUGAUCUUUUGAAGAAAUGAAUCUAUCCGAGCUAGGAGCUCGGUCUUGGGCUUAUCGGUCCGAGCUGGGAGCUCGAC